rnacentral:rRNA from 1 species
UACGUAGGGUGCAAGCGUUAAUCGGAAUUACUGGGCGUAAAGCGUGCGCAGGCGGUUGUGCAAGACAGAUGUGAAAUCCCCGGGCUCAACCUGGGAAUUGCAUUUGUGACUGUACGGCUAGAGUGUGUCAGAGGGGGGUAGAAUUCCACGUGUAGCAGUGAAAUGCGUAGAGAUGUGGAGGAACACCGAUGGCGAAGGCAGCCCCCCUGGGUCAAGAUUGACGCUCAUGCACGAAAGCGUGGGGAGCAAACAGG